UCGUCGUGCGGAACACGCUGCCCGUGACGCACGGCGCGUCGAGCAAAAUUGUUGACGGUGUUAUCGAAAGUCGUCGGAUUUUUUUGUUUUUUUUUUUCCGGUCAUCCCUACUCUUCCGAUCUGUUUCGCAUUCCGAGGUUGGCGCCGCGGCCGCGUCAUUUAUCGACCAUCGGCGCGGUUAAUUUUAUUGAUUUACAUCGUUCCGUGAAUUAUUGACUCUCAUUCGAAUCCCCGUGUAUACGGGUAUCUGCGAGUCCAACGUACA